UUGAAUACGCGACAAUAACAGGUCGCUUGUCACCGUUACCUGCUAAGAACGACUAUACGGGAUAUAUACUAACGAAAACCACAGCUUUCGAUCACCCUGAAACGGACCUAUUCCACCGACCUAAAAUGCAAAUGAAAUAUGCUGCUGCUGCUGACUAUGAGGAGUAGUUGUGGAAUCAAGCACACAGACU